rnacentral:rRNA from 1 species
GGCGGCAGGCUUAACACAUGCAAGUCGAACGCCCGAGCAAUCGGGAGUGGCAGACGGGUGAGUAACACGUGGGAACAUACCCUCAGGUUCGGAACAACGCCGGGAAACUGGCGCUAAUACCGGAUACGCCCUUUUGGGGAAAGGCUUGCUGCCUGAGGAUUGGCCCGCGUUCGAUUAGCUGGAUGGCGGGGUAACGGCCCACCAUGGCGACGAUCGAUAGCUGGUCUGAGAGGAUGGCCAGCCACAUUGGGACUGAGACACGGCCCAAACUCCUACGGGAGGCAGCAGUGGGGAAUAUUGGACAAUGGGCGCAAGCCUGAUCCAGCCAUGCCGCGUGAGUGAUGACGGCCUUAGGGUUGUAAAGCUCUUUCGCACGCGACGAUAAUGACGGUAGCGUGAGAAGAAGCCCCGGCUAACUUCGUGCCAGCAGCCGCGGUAAUACGAAGGGGGCUAGCGUUGUUCGGAAUCACUGGGCGUAAAGGGUGCGCAGGCGGGUUCAUAAGUCAGGGGUGAAAUCCCGAGGCUCAACCUCGGAACGGCCUUUGAUACUGUGGAUCUUGAGUCCGGAAGAGGUGAGUGGAACUG